AUUGAACGCUGGCGGCAGGCCUAACACAUGCAAGUCGAGCGGAUGAAGGGAGCUUGCUCCUGGAUUCAGCGGCGGACGGGUGAGUAAUGCCUAGGAAUCUGCCUGGUAGUGGGGGAUAACGUCCGGAAACGGGCGCUAAUACCGCAUACGUCCUGAGGGAGAAAGUGGGGGAUCUUCGGACCUCACGCUAUCAGAUGAGCCUAGGUCGGAUUAGCUAGUUGGUGGGGUAAAGGCCUACCAAGGCGACGAUCCGUAACUGGUCUGAGAGGAUGAUCAGUCACACUGGAACUGAGACACGGUCCAGACUCCUACGGGAGGCAGCAGUGAGGAAUAUUGGACAAUGGGCGAAAGCCUGAUCCAGCCAUGCCGCGUGUGUGAAGAAGGUCUUCGGAUUGUAAAGCACUUUAAGUUGGGAGGAAGGGCAGUAAGUUAAUACCUUGCUGUUUUGACGUCACCAACAGAAUAAGCACCGGCUAACUUCGUG
rnacentral:rRNA from 1 species